rnacentral:lncRNA from 1 species
AGAGAUCCAGGGAAGUGGCCUGGGAGGUAGGUCCCCAACUCUUCCUUCCCCCCGUCUUCACAGCCAUUUUCCAGGGAUGCCCAUUCCUGCUGGGGUAGCCAGCUGUGACCAGUUCUGGGGCCAGCAUUGAACGCAAGGUGUCAGCAAGUCUCCUGCCAGAGGUCCUGACGGAGGGGCUGUUCCAGGCCAUGCUCCUGGCUUCCGGUGGUUGCCGGCAACCCUGUGCAUUCCCUGCUUGUAGAGAUGAGAAAAUGGAGGUACCAAAAAGUGGGCUCUGAACUGCAGAGCCUGGCUCCAGAGCCCUUGUAUUUGACUACUGGGAUCCACCGUUAUUCUCACAGCCGCGUUUCCCACAGGGCUGCUUUGUAUGGCCUCUUAGAAAAGUCCUGCCUGUCUCCACCAUCCAGACUAUGAUGUCCGUGAGGUCAGAGGAAAGGGAGAAUGUCUCACAUACAGAAAAUGCUUGAUCAACAUUGAUGGAAUCAUAAAUGGGCCUCAGCGGCACCUGUCCUGAGUCAGCAUCUCACAGAGGUUUUGCCAGCGCCAGCCACAUCUCCAGCAUGAAGGUGAUUGUCUGAGUGUGUCCAGUCCAGUUCCUGCCUUAAUAAAAAUCACUGCUGCAAGGGAGAGGGCUGCCAAGGCCCUGCCUCCCUCCAACCCCAUCCUAGCCUGAGUCUUAACCAUUCUUCCAAUCCAGUUCCACUUUGGGCCAGUGCUUAACCCAGGGUAGCACUUUUGAGCCUCGCAACUCUUGGGAGUGAGUUUUCAUCCUAACGUUCUCAGAUGAGGAAAUUGGGCCUCAAAGAGUCCACACAGGUGAGGCACCAUGGCUCAUGCCUAUAAUCCUAACACUUUGGGAGGCCAAGGCAGGAGGAAUGCUUGAGCCCAGGAGUUCAAGACCAGCCUGGGCAACAUGGUGACACCCUGUCUCUAUAAAAAAAUACAACAAUUAGGCAAACGUGGUGGCAUGCACCUGUCAUCCCAGCUACCUGGGAGGCUGAGGUGGGAGGAUUGCUUGAGCCCAGGAGGCUGAGGCUGCAGUGAGCCAUGAUCCUGCCAGUACACUCCAGCCUGGGUGACAGAACAAGACCCUGUCUCAAAAACAAAACAAAACAAAAACAAAAACAAAGCAUCCACACAACUAGCAGGUGAAAAACUGGGGUUCAAACUCAGGCCUAUAACACUAAGGGCUGGGCCUGUCCCCACCAAAUCAGUCUUUCCUCAGACAGGCUGAGGUGUCCUCUAUAGACCAAAUAUCUGGAGGUCAGAACACUGAGACACUAGUUAUGUAAAGGCAGGGUGUGAGUUGGUGAGCUCAUCGAGAAAAUGCUUCCUGGGCUGGGUGCAGUGGCUCACACCUGUAAUCCCAGCACUUUGGGAGGCUGAGGUGGACAGAUCACCUCAAGUCAGGAGUUCAAGACCAGCCUGGCCAACAUGCUGAAACUCUGUCUCUACUAAAAAAUACAAAAAUUUGCCAAGCGCAGUGGCACAUGCCUGUAAUACUAGCUCCUCGGGAGGCUGAGGCAGGAGAACCGCUUGAACCCAGGAGGCAGAGGUUGCAGUGAGCCAAGAUUGCACCACUGAACUCUAGCCUGGGUGACAGAGCAAAACUCUGUCUCAAAAAAAAAAAAAGAAAAGAGAAAAAAGAAAGAGAGAGAAAGAAAGAGAGAGAGAAAGAGAAAGAAA